UUUUGUUUUGCAGUUGGUGAAAAUAAAAAAAAAACAAACAUGCAGGACGCUUCCUUUUUGCUGCUUUCCGUUUCGUUAGGGGAUUCUGCCAAGGGAUUUAGGGUGGUUCAAUGGCCGCUGUGCCGUGUAUUGAAGCUGACUGAAAACUGCAGCCUGCCUUAGCAUGCAUCUCAUUGAUAUGUGAUUAUAAGCAGCAGGUUCCAGAAUUCGUAAUGAGAAUGGAACAUAUCUCAGUCUGCAGAGGCACUCAGCAGAAGCAGAACAUCUUGAUUGGAAUUGACCGAAACUUAGCAGCUCAUCCUGCUCCCCUUGCCAGUUAUCGAGUCGGGCUUCCGGGACAACAGCAAGCUAAUGGAAUAACAACCGAUAUUCAUAAACCAGGUGUUGAACUAUGGAACUUUAUACCACGCACAUCAUUCACCAAUGUAAGCAAAGCAACAAAAUAGGAAAGAGCAAGUGGAAAUAUACGAUAGCAUGCUAACCGUAAUGCAUUCCCGAUGCUUGCCAUCUGCGCCAAGGAUUUGCAAGAGUAGUAUAAUAGCGCAUAAUAUUGAAAUCAUUCCAACGAUAGCGCUCGAAGAUUUUAUAUAGUAGACAUGAGGAGUGAUCUGCCGACAUUAUCCCAAGAGGUCCGUGAUAUUCCGAUCAGGAUUCAACAUGCAAGCAGAAAAUAAGAAACACCAGAUAAUCGUUUUAUUGGUCCGACUGGGAGGCCUAAACAAAACCUGCCACAAGAAAUAAAAAACAAAUUAUAUUGUAUUUCUAUUGUAAUACUGCAGUGGUUUUUAUUCUAAAUCCUAUUGUACUUCCAUGGUAAAACAAUAAAAAAAGUAAUAGAAAACAUUUACAACA